AGUAAUUCUCAGCUGAAACAGGGAAGGUACAAAAAGCCUACCCUCAUAUUCUCAAUCCUUCUCUUUUACAAUACCCUUCACAAGAGAACAUGCUGGCCCAUGCUAAUAGAGUCAUGUCUUGUUGUAGAGUUCAGCCUUACCACUAAGGAAUUCUUACACUCUCAGCAUCUCAAGCUCUAAAUUUAUUCUGUAGCAAUGUCUAAUGCAAGUGUCUGUACAACAGUGGUCCUAGUACAUCCACUGAAAUUGGGAACAGAUCAAGAGAAAACAUAUUGGAAAGAAAACGAAGGUCAUGGAAGAAGAGCCUCAGAUAGUUGAUCUACAGACUUUGAAAGUGACUGGGAAGAAGGCUGCUAAAUGACUGAGUGAAGACACAUCACAGAUAUGUUCUGUCUCCCAAACAUCUUGCUCAUCAAUCCCAUACCUGUUGCACUUGGUAUCGGUAUUAUCUCCACGCAGGCUGAUUUGUUUCAGGUAAGUCAAGCUGUCAUAGUACUGGUUAAUGAAAACUGAGGUGAGUCGCUCAGACUGAAAUUACAUUGACAAUUUAUGGGCCAUGUCUUAGUUAAAUAAAAAUAUUUUAGAUCCCAAACUAGUGAAGUUAAAGUAGCUACAGUUUAGAAUAGGGUCUACAGAGGCCUCCAUCCAAAUACAGUUCAGGAUCUCUUUUUGAAGAAGACAAUGGGAUCAGAAGACCAAACAACACUCUAGUCAGGAGCAGUUGCGUUUUGUAUUGACAUGUGGAGGUAAAAUGAAAGAACUUUUGUUUUUGUUGAGCAGGACUGUGCAUGUAAAACUAUCUAUAAAAUGCAGUCAUACUCUUGCAAAAAUAAUACCAUAAGUAUUUGCUAUUUUUCUCUAGUGAAAUCAAAUAAAAAAUUAAUUAAAGGUUUCAAUCAUCUUCAAGCUUUUUUUAAUAAGCAAAGUGCCUUUGCAGAAGUUCUACGUAGGCAUGGUUAAAAGAGGAAGGGAGGGAUCAGAUUAUUGCACAAACUGUUCAAAGUUUUCUUUUGACCACAGUAAAAUUCAAAGAGCCAAUCUAAAUUUUAUGUAGCAGCUUUUUUUCAUGGGAAAUGUGUCAUCCUUGGAAAUUAGAAUGUAAAAUACUGAUCCUAUAAAAUAACCUUGAACAAUUCAAAUGACUUAGGAAGGUCAAAUAUUCAUCCUGAGCAGCUAGAUUCAUAUUUGAAUGUCUCUAUUACAAAAUUCAAGAUUAGACAUUUGUUAAAGUUCUUAAUUUUUUCCGAUUUAGGUUUAGCACUUGGUUUUGGAAGGGAGUGUUAUACAGAGAUUGACUUUUAUGUGGGUUUUAGAGUAGGAAUAGGAGAUCUGGGAGUUGUUUUCUUUUUGUUGCCGGUGUUAUUUUUUAAUCAAUGUUAAUAAAAAAGAACAAAGAGUUUAAGAGUUCUGUAUUAAUAUUCCCUUGCUGCUAAGUGUGAUCUCUUAUAGAUAUAUUUACCCUGAUAUGAAACAAAACAACCAGUAAUGCAAAGAUUGCCACUUUCAAGGAAGUACAAUAGUACAUUUAUGCUGCCUUAAGAUUUUUCUACUCUCCUAGCUCUCUAGUUUGAAAAGCUCUUUCUCUUUUUCCUUUUAUUUUUUUUUACCCUUCUUUAAGCAAGGAGUUUUGUAAAACUAAAUACUAAGUGUAAAUCUUGUGGUUAACAGCAAUUAAGGCUUGAAGCAUGUGAAAUCUGGCAAGACACAGAAGUUUAAUUUUUUUUUGCUGGUUUGGGUUAAUGUGUAGUUAAAAUGCAAUAUGAUGAUGUUUGGAAAGCCAGCUCUUCCUCUGGGAAAUCCAUUCAAAUAGUAAGCAUAGCCAUACCCAAAACGGGACUUUUGGAAAAAAAAAAAAAAAGAUGAUCAUAUUCAUGCCAUUGCAAAGGAAAAGAAGUAAUCAGAAAUGUUUGGGUUUUUAACAGAGAAAUUCUCUCAAUCAAAAGCCAAACACAAUGCAAUAGGAGGGUUAAAGGGCCUUAUCUUGUUGAUUUUACUCACACAACUAGUUCCAUUGAAUUGGGCAAAUAUACUAUGUCGAAAUGUACUCCUUUCUGGGGGUGGAGGGGUGAGGAAGUGGAAGGGAUGGGGGACAGUGAUUAGAUGGUUCUAUUAGAAAGCAGUGCAAUCUUUGGCAAUGGCAGGAGGAGUCCAAAUUUCCUUUCUAAAAGACAGGAUAAUCAGUAGCAAUUAAGAGGCAAAGUAGCAGACUAAUAAAGUAUACUUGUCACCAGUUGUCAUCUUAGUGAUCAAUUCACACCUCCAUGACAAUAACAUCGACCCUUCAAGUGCUCUAAUGACCCUGAAUCCCUAAAGUGACAGGAGGAUUAGGGCAAAGAUAAUGUGCUGGAAAGGUGCUAAUGAAGUGAUGGGAUUACAAAAUGAGUUUCAUCCUUAAUAGACAGUAAAAGGGAGUGUUCAGUUCCACUCCAGCUAUGAGGUUCACAUGGAUAAACUCUCAUUGACUUCCACAUCCAGUGAGGAUCAGGACCUUAAUUUAAUUAAUUAAGGCUUUUCAUUUCUUAGUUAAAUAUGAAACAUGUGACUGUGGCAGCUCUGUGUUUCCUGUAAGUGGCAGAUAUUUCUUAGAUAAUUAAGUUUACUUUCUUAUGUUAUCUUUUAUCUUAUCUCUGCAAGUUGUAUGUUGCAGACAUGCCUUGCUUGUAUCUUUUUAAUUCUGUACAAUUAGUUUUAGAGAGAUUUAAUUUUUUUGAGUAUGCAGUAUACAACUGCUUUUCCAUGAACUGUUUUAAGAAAUGAGAAAUUGAGCAUAUAAUUAGAAUAUAAUGUCAUGUGUUCAGUAACAAAAUAAUGUCAUUUUCUUGCUCAGUGUUACAAGUGCUUAGAUAGAUGAUAGAUAGAUGGAUAGAUGGAUGGAUAGAUAGAUACUGCAUGGCAGUAGCAUUUCGAGGUGCUAAAACAGAAAUGGUGUUCUUGUAGAUGUUGUUGAAAAUGCAUAUUUUAAAAUGUCCACUAUGUUUACCAUGUAAUUAAAACAAUCCUGUUCAUUAAAUGCCAUCUGUCUCUUGUUAAAUUAUACUUGAACUAUAUCUGCAACCCGUUUCAAAAGAACAUUAAAGUUGGGGGAAAGGGUA